rnacentral:rRNA from 1 species
CGGGUUGUAAAGCACUUUCAGUUGUGAGGAAGGUGGUGUCGUUAAUAGCGGCAUCAUUUGACGUUAGCAACAGAAGAAGCACCGGCUAACUCCGUGCCAGCAGCCGCGGUAAUACGGAGGGUGCGAGCGUUAAUCGGAAUUACUGGGCGUAAAGCGCAUGCAGGUGGUUUGUUAAGUCAGAUGUGAAAGCCCGGGGCUCAACCUCGGAACUGCAUUUGAAACUGGCAGACUAGAGUACUGUAGAGGGGGGUAGAAUUUCAGGUGUAGCGGUGAAAUGCGUAGAGAUCUGAAGGAAUACCGGUGGCGAAGGCGGCCCCCUGGACAGAUACUGACACUCAGAUGCGAAAGCGUGGGGAGCAAACAGGAUUAGAUACCCUGGUAGUCCACGCUGUAAACGAUGUCUACUUGGAGGUUGUGGCCUUGAGCCGUGGCUUUCGGAGCUAACGCGUUAAGUAGACCGCCUGGGGAGUACGGUCGCAAGAUUAAAACUC